rnacentral:rRNA from 1 species
AGUGAACGCUGGCGGUAGGCCUAACACAUGCAAGUCGAGCGGCAGCACCGUAAGAGCUUGCUCUUACGGGUGGCGAGUGGCGGACGGGUGAGGAAUACAUCGGAAUCUACUUUUUCGUGGGGGAUAACGUAGGGAAACUUACGCUAAUACCGCAUACGACCUACGGGUGAAAGCAGAGGAUCUUCAGACCUUGCGCGAUUGCAUGAGCCGAUGUCGGAUUAGCUAGUUGGCGGGGUAAAGGCCCACCAAGGCGACGAUCCGUAGCUGGUCUGAGAGGAUGAGCAGCCACACUGGAACUGAGACACGGACCAGACUCCUAAGGGAGGCAGCAGUGGGGAAUAUUGGAGAAUGGGCGAAAGCCUGAUCCAGCCAUACCGCGUGGGUGAAGAAGGCCUUCGGGUUGUAAAGCCCUUUUGUUGGGAAAGAAAAGCAGCAGGUUAAUACCGCGCUGUUCUGACGGUACCCAAAGAAUAAGCACCGGCUAACUUCGUG